GUGGCGUUUUACAUAUAAACAUUACGGUACUCAAUGGACUCAGAAAUGAGACUUUAAAUCAAUAACAAUUGUUGGAAGCCCAAGCUGAAGUCUACGCUCUUCGUAAGGCAAACAGGUUGUACCUUCUCAAGUUUUAUAAUAUCUUGUUCUUAAGACAGACAUUGUAUAUUUAAAUUGGACUUCAUUCGAAAUGGGCUGGACUCUGGCCUAAUGGGCGUUCCUGAUGCUCAUGACGUGAUGUAGACAAAGAAGACAACUAUCAGGAGGAAAGAAUGUCGGGACUCAAUCGUGAAAGGGCAACAGAACUUAUCAAUUAUUCAUAGAUAGCCAAAAAUUGUGUCACUCAUCAAGCUUCCAAAAAUUCUGGAUAUGAAGUUAAUUGAAAUAUAGUGUAAAUUUUAUUUUUUAAAUGUUUUCCUCUGCAAUAAUCUCAAGAAUAAUGUUAGCAAUAAUUGUUGUAGGCAUUAUGUUUAUUAAUAUUGUAUUAUGACUGCUAAUGUUUAUCUUAUUAAUAUGAGAAAGUAACCCGUUUGUUGUAAAGAAUGUAGACAUGUAAGAUAAGAUAUAAAAUUUUGAGGAUUAAAAUCAGAUUUAUUGAUUUUUGAUAGAUGUACAUGAUAUAGGCCUACAGUAUAUAAUUAUAAAAGUAUCACAACUUGAUUUCAAUGCUUGAAAAUAAAUAUAUAAUAAAUGGAAUUGUGCAUUUCUUCUCAUUAUUUAAUGUCCAUGUUUACUGUAAUAAAUUCAAGAGCUAAAAUAUCCUUAUUAUUAUAUGCUUAUAAGCUUAAACCAAAAGUGACGAAUUGUUUCGUCAAUAUGUGCUACUUUAUCUAUUAAACUAGCAAUUCUUUCGAGGACGCCCUCAACAAAAACAUAAAACCGGAAAUGACGUGGUUGCUAAGUAACAAGCU